GAUGAACGCUAGCUACAGGCUUAACACAUGCAAGUCGAGGGGAAACGACAUCGAAAGCUUGCUUUUGAUGGGCGUCGACCGGCGCACGGGUGAGUAACGCGUACCCAACCUGCCCAUCACUUGGGGAUAACCUUGCGAAAGUAAGACUAAUACCCAAUGAUAUCUCUAGAAGACAUCUGAAAGAGAUUAAAGAUUUAUCGGUGAUGGAUGGGGAUGCGUCUGAUUAGCUUGUUGGCGGGGUAACGGCCCACCAAGGCAACGAUCAGUAGGGGUUCUGAGAGGAAGGUCCCCCACAUUGGAACUGAGACACGGUCCAAACUCCUACGGGAGGCAGCAGUGAGGAAUAUUGGUCAAUGGGCGAGAGCCUGAACCAGCCAAGUAGCGUGCAGGAAGACGGCCCUAUGGGUUGUAAACUGCUUUUAUAAGGGAAUAAAGUGAGAGUCGUGACUCUUUUUGUAUGUACCUUAUGAAUAAGGACCGGCUAAUUCCGUG
rnacentral:rRNA from 1 species